CUGGGGAAACAAUGGGAGCAGCCAGCCCUGAGAAAAUUGGUUAAUUAUUCUCUUGAAGGGUUCCCAGAGACAUGCAUGCAACAUAGCUUUUGUUUUUGAAAGAAAGAAGCUAAUAACUCCCCUUUACCUGCAACAAGAGGGAAAACCUCAAUUCUUUGUCCAGCUUAGCUGCUGUGCUGUGAUUUUAAGUAAAGUGUCUACUAUGAAUAAGCAGAAAGUAAAGAAGAUGUCUGUCACAAAGGUCGAAGACACGAUGGCUCUGAAAUGGGCAAGAGCAGUAAAUCGUGCGGAGGAGAAGAGGUAUGCCGAGAAGAUCAAAGUCCUCCAAAAAGCGGCGUGUCUAAGCUCCUACGAAAUGGACCGAGAAAAAGCCACACUUCUGAAGUUUCUGGAAAAAGUUCAGAGGACUACAGGGCACCUAAACAAAGACACUCCCUUAUUAAAUUCACACGGAGGAGCACAAAACGACCCGUCAUCCAAAUAACUCCAGACCUACUGGGUACUGCAGCUUCUGCUGAAAUUAUUUCUUUGGUGAUUGGAGAAGUUUCAACCAGAUUAUUUGCUGUGUAGAAAUGCUAGACUGUAUUCCUUGAAGAAUAUGGUCUUAAAGAGAUGGUGAAUUCUGCCUUGGAUGUCAGCACCAAUUUAAGUAACUCAGUUUGAAUAAACCAUGGAACAUCCUGGAAAAGGCGAAACAUGAACUCUGCUUUAAAAGAUUUGCCUGAAAUUUGUAGUCUCUGCAGAACUGAUGAAUCAUCUCAGAUUCCUGAGCACAUCACUAAAAUCAGGGCUUUAUUUCAACCAGAACUCACCGCAACUCCGUUCCAGCACUUCUUAGGUGGGCGCCAUUACCAUUAUAAGAGAACAAGGGAGGCUUUCACGGAGACCUGCAAAGUUCUAUGAGGCGUGGAAUACCUAUAUAUUUUGAAAAGAACAUUGAAAAGAAACUGCUGAGAUGAUGGGUGAUGGUGAGUUGAGGAGAUGUAAUCUGAGCUAUUACUGCUGC